GAUGAACGCUGGCGGCGUGCCUAAUACAUGCAAGUCGAGCGAACGGACGAGAAGCUUGCUUUUCUGAUGUUAGCGGCGGACGGGUGAGUAACACGUGGAUAACCUACCUAUAAGACUGGGAUAACUUCGGGAAACCGGAGCUAAUACCGGAUAAUAUUUUGAACCGCAUGGUUCAAAAGUGAAAGACGGUCUUGCUGUCACUUAUAGAUGGAUCCGCGCUGCAUUAGCUAGUUGGUAAGGUAACUGCUUACCAAGGCAACGAUGCAUAGCCGACCUGAGAGGGUGAUCGGCCACACUGGAAGUGAGACACGGUCCAGACUCCUACGGGAGGCAGCAGUAGGGAAUCUUACGCGAUGGGCGAAAGCCUGAUGGAGCAACGCCGCGUGAGUGAUGAAGGUCUUCGGAUCGUAAAACCCUGUUAUUAGGGAAGAACAUAUGUGUAAGUAACUGUGCACAUCUUGACGGUACCUAAUCAGAAAGCCACGGCUAACUACGUG
rnacentral:rRNA from 1 species